GACGAACGCUGGCGGCGUGCUUAACACAUGCAAGUCGAACGGAAAGGCCCUGCUUUUGUGGGGUGCUCGAGUGGCGAACGGGUGAGUAACACGUGAGUAACCUGCCCUUGACUUUGGGAUAACUUCAGGAAACUGGGGCUAAUACCGGAUAGGAGCUCCUGCUGCAUGGUGGGGGUUGGAAAGUUUCGGCGGUUGGGGAUGGACUCGCGGCUUAUCAGCUUGUUGGUGGGGUAGUGGCUUACCAAGGCUUUGACGGGUAGCCGGCCUGAGAGGGUGACCGGCCACAUUGGGACGGAGAUACGGCCCAGACUCCUACGGGAGGCAGCAGUGGGGAAUAUUGCACAAUGGGCGGAAGCCUGAUGCAGCAACGCCGCGUGCGGGAUGACGGCCUUCGGGUUGUAAACCGCUUUCGCCUGUGACGAAGCGUGAGUGACAGUAAUGGGUAAAGAAGCACCGGCUAACUACGUG
rnacentral:rRNA from 1 species